rnacentral:rRNA from 1 species
CGGGGUGCAGCAGGCGCGAAAACUCCACACUGUACGGAAGUACGAUGGGGUUAUCUCGAGUGCAGUCUGAAAAAGAUUGCUUUUCCAUAGAGUAAUACCCUGUGGGAAUAAGAGGGGGGCAAGACUGGUGUCAGCCGCCGCGGUAACACCAGCCCCUCGAGUGGUGGGGACUUUUAUUGGGCCUAAAGCGUCCGUAGCUGGCUGUAUCCGUCCCCCGUCAAAUCCAGCGUCUCAAGCGCUGGACUGCGGGUGAUACCAUACAGCUUGAGGGUGGGAUAGGUAAGCGGUAUUUCUGGGGUAGGGGCGAAAUCCUUUGAUCCCAGGAGGACCACCAGUGGCGAAGGCUGCCUACUAGAACACGCCUGACGGUCAGGGACGAAAGCUGGGGUAGCGAACCGGAUUAGAUACCCGGGUAGUCCCAGCUGUAAACGAUGCGUGUUAGGUGUUGGGUUGGCCAUGUGCCGCCCCAGUGCCUCAGGGAAGCCGUUAAACAUGCCGCCUGGGGAGUACGGCCGCAAGGCUGAAACUUAAAGGAAUUGGCGGGGGAGCAC